GACGAACGCUGGCGGCGUGCUUAAUACAUGCAAGUCGAGCGCAGGAAAUCGACGGAACCCUUCGGGGGGAAGUCGACGGAAUGAGCGGCGGACGGGUGAGUAACACGUAAAGAACCUGCCCUCAGGUCUGGGAUAACCACGAGAAAUCGGGGCUAAUACCGGAUGGGUCAUCGGACCGCAUGGUCCGAGGAUGAAAGGCGCUUCGGCGUCGCCUGGGGAUGGCUUUGCGGUGCAUUAGCUAGUUGGUGGGGUAAUGGCCCACCAAGGCGACGAUGCAUAGCCGACCUGAGAGGGUGAUCGGCCACACGGGGACUGAGACACGGCCCAGACUCCUACGGGAGGCAGCAGUAGGGAAUCUUCCACAAUGGACGAAAGUCUGAUGGAGCAACACCGCGUGAACGAUGAAGGCCUUCGGGUCGUAAAGUUCUGUUGUAAGGGAAGAACAAGUGCCGCAGGCAAUGGCGGCACCUUGACGGUACCUUGCGAGAAAGCCACGGCUAACUACGUGCCAGCAGCCGCGGUAA
rnacentral:rRNA from 1 species